UACGUAGGGGGCUAGCGUUGUCCGGAUUUAUUGGGCGUAAAGAGCGUGUAGGCGGCCAGGUAGGUCUGGUGUGAAAACUCGAGGCUUAACCUCGAGAUGUCAUCGGAAACCAUUUGGCUAGAGUCCGGAAGAGGAGAGUGGAAUUCCCAGUGUAGCGGUGAAAUGCGUAGAUAUUGGGAGGAACACCAGUGGCGAAGGCGGCUCACUGGACCGGUUCUGACGCUGAUGCGCGAAAGCGUGGGGAGCAAACGGG
rnacentral:rRNA from 1 species